GGGCCUGUAGCUCAUCUGGUAGAGCGCGGCAUUCGCAUUGCCGAGGUGAGGAGUUCGAGUCUCCUCAGGUCCA
rnacentral:tRNA from 1 species